rnacentral:rRNA from 1 species
UGGGGAAUUUUGGACAAUGAGCGAAAGCCUGAUCCAGCAAUGCCGCGUGUGUGAAGAAGGCCUUCGGGUUGUAAAGCACUUUUGUCCGGAAAGAAAUCCUUGGCUCUAAUACAGUCGGGGGAUGACGGUACCGGAAGAAUAAGCACCGGCUAACUACGUGCCAGCAGCCGCGGUAAUACGUAGGGUGCAAGCGUUAAUCGGAAUUACUGGGCGUAAAGCGUGCGCAGGCGGUUUGCUAAGACCGAUGUGAAAUCCCCGGGCUCAACCUGGGAACUGCAUUGGUGACUGGCAGGCUAGAGUAUGGCAGAGGGGGGUAGAAUUCCACGUGUAGCAGUGAAAUGCGUAGAGAUGUGGAGGAAUACCGAUGGCGAAGGCAGCCCCCUGGGCCAAUACUGACGCUCAUGCACGAAAGCGUGGGGAGCAAAACAGGAUUAGAUACCCUGGUAGUCCACGCCCUAAAACGAUGUCAACUAGUUGUUGGGGAUUCAUUUCCUUAGUAACGUAGCUAACGCGUGAAGUUGACCGCCUGGGGAGUACGGUCGCAAGAUU